rnacentral:rRNA from 1 species
CCUUCUUUUUCCCGCUUUUUCCGGAAUUAUUGGGCGUAAAGCGCGCGCAGGCGGUCCUUUAAGUCUGAUGUGAAAGCCCACGGCUCAACCGUGGAGGGUCAUUGGAAACUGGGGGACUUGAGUGCAGAAGAGGAGAGUGGAAUUCCACGUGUAGCGGUGAAAUGCGUAGAGAUGUGGAGGAACACCAGUGGCGAAGGCGACUUUCUGGUCUGUAACUGACGCUGAGGCGCGAAAGCGUGGGGAGCAAACAGGA